GACAGAGGGGGCAAGUGUUGCUCGGAAUUACUGGGCGUAAAGGGCGCGUAGGCGGGAUGGCAAGUCGGUCGUGAAAUCCCUCGGCUCAACCGAGGAACGUCGAUCGAUACUGCUGUUCUUGAGGAUUGCAGAGGAGACUGGAAUUCCCGGUGUAGCGGUGAAAUGUGUAGAGAUCGGGAGGAACACCGGUGGCGAAGGCGGGUCUCUGGGCUGAGAUUGACGCUCAGGCACGAAAGCGUGGGGAGCAAACAGG
rnacentral:rRNA from 1 species